rnacentral:tRNA from 1 species
UCCUUAGAUGACUGAGUUUAAGUGCUAGAUUUUUAAUCUAGAAACGGUAAAUAAUUUAAUAUACCUCUAAGGAU